AGUGGUUCCACUCUGCAAGAGAUAGGAGGAAAAGGAGGACAGCAGCUCCGAACCCUCUGUCUACCGCUGUUUGGCCUCAGAUGUGCCCAUGUCCAGCAACAAGAAGUCAGGGAGACGUCUGCGUCAAAGUCCCGAGGUUUCACCAGACAAUUAUAAAAGACUGAUCAAAGUCAAGACAGCACAAUGCUGACGACUUGGAGGCUCUCACACGCCCGACGGCCUGUUUGGAGACCAGUUGAUUGGAACAGCAAAAA